CCUACGGGAGGCAGCAGUGAGGAAUAUUGGUCAAUGGACGAGAGUCUGAACCAGCCAAGUAGCGUGAAGGAUGACGGCCCUAUGGGUUGUAAACUUCUUUUAUAAAGGAAUAAAACGAGGCACGUGUGCCUUUUUGUAUGUACUUUAUGAAUAAGGAUCGGCUAACUCCGUGCCAGCAGCCGCGGUAAUACGGAGGAUCCGAGCGUUAUCCGGUUUUGUUGUGUUUAAAGGGAGAGUAGAUGGGUUGUUAAGUCAGUUGUGAAAGUUUUCGGCUCCACCGUAAAAUUGCAAUUGAUACUGGCAGCCUUGAGUACAGUUGAGGUAGGUGGAAUUCGUGGUGUAGCGGUGAAAUGCUUAGAUAUCACGAAGAACCCCGAUUGCGAAGGCAGCUUACUAAACUGUGACUGACAUUGAUGCUCGAAAGUGUGGGUAUCAAACAGGAUUAGAUACCCCAGUAGUC
rnacentral:rRNA from 1 species